rnacentral:rRNA from 1 species
GACGAACCGUGCAAACGUUGUUCGGAAUCACUGGGCUUAAAGGGCGCGUAGGCGGGCUGACAAGUCUGGGGUGAAAUGCCACGGCUCAACCGUGGAACUGCCUCAGAUACUGUCGGCCUCGAGGAAGGUAGGGGCAUGCGGAACUGUAGGUGGAGCGGUGAAAUGCGUUGAUAUCUACAGGAACUCCGGUGGCGAAAGCGGCGUGCUGGACCUUUUCUGACGCUGAGGCGCGAAAGCUAGGGGAGCAAACGGG